rnacentral:rRNA from 2 species
GUCCUAAGCUGAGGCCGACAGGCGUAGGCGAUGGAUAACAGGUUGAUAUUCCUGUACCACCUAUAAUCGUUUUAAUCGAUGGGGGGACGCAGUAGAAUAGGCGAAGCGUGCGAUUGGAUUGCACGUCUAAGCAGUAAGGCUGAGUAUUAGGCAAAUCCGGUACUCGUUAAGGCUGAGCUGUGAUGGGGAGAAGACAUUGAGUCUUCGAGUCGUUUAUUUCACACUGCCGAGAAAAGCCUCUAGAUAGAAAAUAGGUGCCCGUACCGCAAACCGACACAGGUAGUCAAGAUGAGAAUUCUAAGGUGAGCGAGCGAACUCUCGUUAAGGAACUCGGCAAAAUGACCCCGUAACUUCGGGAGAAGGGGUGCUCUUUAGGGUUAACGCCCAGAAGAGCCGCAGUGAAUAGGCCCAAGCGACUGUUUAUCAAAAACACAGGUCUCUGCUAAACCGUAAGGUGAUGUAUAGGGGCUGACGCCUGCCCGGUGCUGGAAGGUUAAGAGGAGUGGUUAGCUUCUGCGAAGCUACGAAUCGAAGCCCCAGUAAACGGCGGCCGUAACUAUAACGGUCCUAAGGUAGCGAAAUUCCUUGUCGGGUAAGUUCCGACCCGCACGAAAGGCGUAACGAUUUGGGCACUGUCUCAACGAGAGACUCGGUGAAAUCAUAGUACCUGUGAAGAUGCAGGUUACCCGCGACAGGACGGAAAGACCCCGUGGAGCUUUACUGUAGCCUGAUAUUGAAAUUCGGCACAGCUUGUACAGGAUAGGUAGGAGCCUUUGAAACGUGAGCGCUAGCUUACGUGGAGGCGCUGGUGGGAUACUACCCUAGCUGUGUUGGCUUUCUAACCCGCACCACUUAUCGUGGUGGGAGACAGUGUCAGGCGGGCAGUUUGACUGGGGCGGUCGCCUCCUAAAAGGUAACGGAGGCGCUCAAAGGUUCCCUCAGAAUGGUUGGAAAUCAUUCAUAGAGUGUAAAGGCAUAAGGGAGCUUGACUGCGAGACCUACAAGUCGAGCAGGGUCGAAAGACGGACUUAGUGAUCCGGUGGUUCCGCAUGGAAGGGCCAUCGCUCAACGGAUAAAAGCUACCCCGGGGAUAACAGGCUUAUCUCCCCCAAGAGUUCACAUCGACGGGGAGGUUUGGCACCUCGAUGUCGGCUCAUCGCAUCCUGGGGCUGUAGUCGGUCCCAAGGGUUGGGCUGUUCGCCCAUUAAAGCGGUACGCGAGCUGGGUUCAGAACGUCGUGAGACAGUUCGGUCCCUAUCCGUCGUGGGCGUAGGAAAUUUGAGAGGAGCUGUCCUUAGUACGAGAGGACCGGGAUGGACAUACCUCUGGUGUACCAGUUGUCGUGCCAACGGCAUAGCUGGGUAGCUAUGUGUGGACGGGAUAAGUGCUGAAAGCAUCUAAGCAUGAAGCCCCCCUCAAGAUGAGAUUUCCCAACUUCGGUUAUAAGAUCCCUCAAAGAUGAUGAGGUUAAUAGGUUCGAGGUGGAAGCAUGGUGACAUGUGGAGCUGACGAAUACUAAUCGAUCGAAGACUUAAUCAA